CUCCUCCGCGCCUUCUCCAAUUCCCAGUCUGAGAGCGUUGCCUCGUCCAGUGAGUAACUGGUCGCUCCUGCACCGCCUACUGUCCCACCCUGCCCCUUCCAAGGCCUCAGCUCUGAGUCAUCUGGGCUCUCACUGGGUUGUCUGCUUGGUAAUCUUAUGAACUCUGAGAGGUAGGAGAGCGAGCAGAGGCAGGGCUGGCCAAGGUCACGGCUCGGGACACAGAAAGGCCACUGGACUUGGCGUCAAGAGGACAGAGGUUCUGGGUCUCCUCUGCCACCAGCUAACAGAGUGACCACGGACCAACCAUUGUGCCUCUCUUUUCUCGUCUGUAAAAUGAGAGGGCCGGACUGGGAUCUCCAAGACUGUUUUGAGUUCCAGGCUAUGGGGACUAAACUCGGGCACAAAAUACAGCAAGACAGAAGAAACCUUCUUCAAAGGAGAACAUUUUCCUGACACUUUCAGCUGAUGAUUUUAUUCCCAUCAGGGCACCUGGGGCAGCCUUUAAGGUUUCUUGAGACAUAAAUGAAAAAAAAAUUUAAUGCACCCAAGCUAAGAGUUUUGAGGAUGAGUUAUGCAAUAAUUUCAGUGCUCAUUACAGUAUUAGGAUUUUCCUAGAGAAACUAUUCAGAGGCAAUAGCAGUUGUUCUUCCUACUCUUAGCCCACAAACGCAAGUCUGAGAUACUGAAGAGAAUCUGGGUGUCGUAAUGCAUCGUUGAAUGUAGAAGCAACGAGGAGGGGUCAACAAGACAGGUGUGGCAGCGGGACACUACACUGCGACGACCAAGAAUCAGUGCGACUCCUGCCGCAGCACGACGCGCCUCCAGUCACAGGCACUGCACAGCUCCCCUCGGUGCAGCAUCCAGAAGUGGGUGAAGCUGGGACUUCCGUGGGGUCCAGUGGUUAAGAAUCCACCUUGCAAUGCAGGAAAAGCAGGUUUGAUUCCUGGUUGGCGAACUAAGAUCCCAUGUGUCCCAGGGCAACAGAGCCCAAGAUGAAUACUUCUGGGUAUUAUCCUAAGGGAAUAUUCAGUGAUGUGCACAACUGUUGACUUACACGCACGCUCAGUGAGGACGGCUGUUACAGACUGCGUGUUCGUGCCCUCUCAACAUUCAUCCUGAAACUCUCAUCAGCAGUGUGGCACUAAGAGUACUGGGCUGUGGAACCUUUAGAAGGUAAUUAGCUCAGAAGGGUGGAGCCCUCUUAAGGAGGAUUAGUGCCUUUAUAAGAAGAGGUCAGAGAGUGAGCAGGUUCCUUUUCUGCUGUCUGAGAGUACAAUGACGGGAGAGCUGUCUGCAAACCAGGAAGUGGACCCUCAGCAGACACCAGCUCUGCCGGAACCCUUGAUCGUGGGUUGUCAGCCUCCAGAACUGUGAGAAACAAAAGCCUGUUGUUUAAACCAGCCAGGUGGUCACAGCAGCCCAAAUAAGACUGAGCGACUGAACUAAACAGUAACUAACAUUUAGUGAACCCUAAUUAUGUGCUCCAUGUGUAUUACCUCAUUUAACCCUCACAUAACUGUGAUAAAAUACAUGUUGUUUAUAGAUGAGAAUACUGAAGCACAGGGAGAGAAGUAACUUGUUCAAAACCACGUAGUUAAUAAAUGACAAGCCCAGAAAUAUAUCGAUUAUGUUUAAGUAAAAAAUAAGGCAUAUAACAAUAUGCGUAGUUUUAUCUCAUUUUUAUUGCUAUAGUUUUAACUUUUUUCCAAACAUGUCUUUGCACAUCUCUGUAAGACGUAACAAUAUAUCCAUACAAUACAUGCAGCCUCCACGGAGCACAGUGGUGGGGUUACGAGACUCUGCUUUUCCUCCUCUUGGCUCAUCCGUGUCGAAUGGGUCUGUGCAUGAGCCAGGCACGGGCUCUCUUCUCAACACGUGUUUACUGGCUGCACCAGCUCUUACCCGAAGCGAGUGUUGUCUUUUACUUGUGGCGCGUGGGAUCAGGGGAUCCUGAACCGGGAGCCCAGAAUCAGCCACUGGACCCCCAGGGAAGUCUCGCAGGGCACAGGAUCUUAGCGAUUACUAGCCCACGGGAUGCUGCCUUACCCGAGGGUGAGUCCACUCAACACAGCACGGGGGGCUGCUGUCUGCAUGUUCCUCAGACCCUCCGCAGAGCCCGACGAGCGCCGUCAUCC
ensembl:lncRNA